AUGUAAUAUGUUUUAGCUAUAGUAUUUGAACACUGCAUGUACUUUCAUUAAUAUAUGUUGUACUACUUUUUUUCAUUAGGUUGAAGCCAGUUUUGUUGCAAAAUAGCAAAUGUUUGGUACUGGUUGGAACUAUGAAAGUAAUACAGGUCUUAUGGUGGAUCAUCAUCCUUUAAAAAACAGCAGGUUAUUAGCAGCAGUUUUACAAAAAAAUAAAGGAUAUAAAUGGCUGUCAAUGGUAAAUGCAGCAUCAGAACGUUCCCCCGGCAAAUUUACUCUGAAAAUUUGGGAAAGUAUGAAUUAGAAAUUGGAAAGGCAAAGAGAUAACCAGAAAACACAGAAUUUAAAAGAGAAGAAUUCAAAUAAAAAGAAUAGAAAGACGGCCCCAUAUGAAAUAGAAACUGAAGUAAACGACAAUGCUUUAGUGCUUGUGACAUUCAGCAAAUUCCUUCUCAUAUUCUUUAUAACAUAUAUAUAUAUAUAUAUAUAGAUCAAUGUGUAAAAUUUGAUUUUCAAACAAGAAGUUUUUUAAGAAAUAAUGACAUUCACUCAGGUAGCAGCUGUCUGUGGAUCAAACCUAUUCCAGAGAUGUAAUAUGCCAAGAUGUGACAUUUUAAAUGAAGGGAGCAAAAUAACUGGUAUUUUCUUUUCGUUAUGCCACUAAUAGUAAUAUGAUAUAUCUGAAUGGGAGCAACCUGUACUAUUCAAUAUGGAUCGAAGGAUUGACAAUUUUGACAGGGAACAAAAUGAACUCUAAUUAUGUUUAUAUGACUAUCAAUCAGUAUUUGACUGAAUCAGAGGAGUAAACUAUAUACAUAUUUUUAAAUAUAACAGUCUAUAUUUUUGCUUAAUUAUUGAGGCAUUAAAAAUAAAGAAAGUUGAAAAACCUUUGAAAAAGUUAUAAUGUCAUCAUUUUUUGCUUAUGUUACUAUGACAACUGAAAAUAUAUAAUGUAUUAUUAUUAUGCUUCAUCAAACUUAAAUCAUUAAUUGAGGACAGGAUGACAAAGUCUUGACAUUUUUUUAAUCCAUUUACUUGCAUGACUGGUAUCUAUCAAUCGAUAAUUGAAAGAAAAAAAUAUAUGGUGAUUUUCGCUAACUGCUGAGUAAUUUGUUUUGCUCGUUUUAGACCACAGUAAUGAUUAUAUAAGCUGCAUUAUCAUAAUAUUUGUUUACAUUUACAUAAUGUGUUGUAGCUCUGAAAUCAUGGUAUUUGAUCUCUUUUUGCCUGUUAGGUAGUUACUCUUGCACAUCAGAACAAUGCAAAAACUUGAAUUUUCCAAUUUCUUGUCAUGUUGCCAUGGUAACCAUUGUUCAUAGAAACAAAAAUUGCUUUCAGUUGAUUGUCUUGUGAAACUGUAUUAUUCUGUGUAAGUUUAACAAAGGAUAUGACAACAUGUGUCACACUUUGUACAUACAAUUUUGAAAGAUAUACAAAGAACUGCUGUUGAUCACUGUGUCGUUAGGGGUCACAAAAACGUUUUUAGGUCAAAAAAUAGUCAGGUAACCCAUAUUUUUCUUUUUAUUUUUUCAAAGCUCAUUGUUUUGACCAUCUUAUGUCAAAUUUUAAAAAAUAUUCAUUGGACCAUUUUUGUUUGAAAUUUAAGAAAAAUAGAAAUUUUUAACAAAAUCUGUGUUUUUUGUGUGCAGCAGUGUUGAUGAAAUUUAAGCCGAAAUUAAUAAAUAAAAAUAAAACUGCCAUUAUUUG